rnacentral:rRNA from 1 species
AUUGAACGCUGGCGGCAUGCUUUACACAUGCAAGUCGAACGGCAGCACGGGAGCUUGCUCCUGGUGGCGAGUGGCGAACGGGUGAGUAAUGCAUCGGAACGUACCCAGUAGUGGGGGAUAGCCCGGCGAAAGCCGGAUUAAUACCGCAUAUUUCCUGAGGGAGAAAGCGGGGGACCUUCGGGCCUCGCGCUACUGGAGCGGCUGAUAUCGGAUUAGCUAGUUGGUGAGGUAAAGGCUCACCAAGGCGACGAUCCGUAGCUGGUCUGAGAGGAUGAUCAGCCACACUGGGACUGAGACACGGCCCAGACUCCUACGGGAGGCAGCAGUGGGGAAUUUUGGACAAUGGGGGCAACCCUGAUCCAGCCAUGCCGCGUGAGUGAAGAAGGCC